AACCAAAAACAGAAACGAAACAAAAGGAAAUACCCAACGCGAAACCCCGGCAUCCUCCCGUCGUGCAACCCUAUUCGACCGUCGCAAGCCUCCCACCCGGUUGGGACUCCUGAUGACAGAAAAAGGGAGAGGAAAAUAGGACAACAAUUGACCCUAUUUGGACGCCCCAAGCCUCCCACCCGGUUGGGACUCCUGAUGACGGAAAAAGGGAGAGGAAAAUAGGACAACAACUGACCCUAUUCGGAUGCCCCAAGCCUCCUACCCGGUUCGGACUCCUAAGGAUGGAAAAAGGGAGAGGAAAAUCGGACGAAAACAGAGGAAAAAUCCACGAAAACAGAGGAAAGACAGAAAAAUUUAAGAAAACAAUAUGAGGUGUUUGAAGAGUUUGAAGAAUUCUAAAGAAGGAAAGUUGGCUCCAAAAAGGGGGAUCACAAAAUAUUGUGCGCAAACGUCGAAAGGGGGUGAUCAACAUCAAUCUGGAGAUGGAUCUCUGUGACAAUCUCCAUCUAACCACACAACUUAAAUGAUGCUUGACAGAUCGAUAUGUCACAAAGAGUUGUUUGAAUACACUCACAAGAGAAAAGAUGGUACCUUUACAUCUGAGAAAGCAAAGAUAGUGAGUGAGAAAUAUGAUACUAUCAUGCGACAGAAGUAUGGUGAGGAUCUAUCUUCCUAUCUUUCUUUGGAUGAGGAGGCUUGGUUGGCUGUUGCGGGACCGUUCAAAAAGGAUAGAGUAUUUGGGUUAGGUUAUACCUUAGUUCUUCCAUCCAAAUCCAACAAUCCAUCAUCUCAAAAUAGCAUCGUUGGAUGUGGUGCACAGCCACAUUCGAACGAUGAGGAGAUGAGGGAGAUGCAUCUUAUGUGGGAGAAUAUGGAUAAGUUAAAUCAGAAUAUUCAAGUACAACAAAAUUCAAUAGGUCGGUUCUUUUUGCACAACAACAAUCUAUAGAUCGGAUUCUUCAUGGCUUGUCUCAAUUGAUACAUCCACAACCACCACUGACAUCAUCUGGAUCGACAGCUGAGAAUUCUCCUAGAUCUUCGGAUACGACUCUGACUACAGCUCCAUGACGAUGGUCAUUUGCUUGGUGGGCUGCUCUUCCUGGAUGGAUGCCACCACACCCAUACACUCCAUCUACAUUUCCUUCGACAGCUCAAACUCCAACUCGACCUCGGAUAGUUGAAAAAAUAUAAUUUUUAUAUCUUUCUUCAUUUUUUGUGUUAUAUCAUACUUAUACAUGGAUGUAUGAUGUUUAGGGCUCUACUUCAAAGCAACAUGUGUCAGAGAAAGAUAGAAGUGGAUAUAGCUGUGGUAGAGGGGAUACAAAUCUAGA